ensembl:lncRNA
GUCCCAAAUAGCACCCUAUUGUCUAUUUAGUCCCAAAUAGCACCCUAUUGUCUAUUUAGUCCCAAAUAGCACCCUAUUGUCUAUUUAGUCCCAAAUAGCACCCUAUUGUCUAUUUAGUCCCAAAUAGCACCCUAUUGUCUAUUUAGUCUCAAAUAGCACCCUAUUGUCUAUUUAGUCUCAAAUAGCACCCUAUUGUCUAUUUAGUCCCAAAUUGCACCCUAGUCCCUAUUUAGUCCCAAAUUGCACCCUAUUCCCUAUUUAGUCCCAAAUAGCACCCUAUUGUCUAUUUAGUCCCAAAUAGCACCCUAUUGUCUAUUUAGUCCCAAAUAGCACCCUAUUGUCUAUUUAGUCCCAAAUAGCACCCUAUUGUCUAUUUAGUCUCAAAUAGCACCCUAUUGUCUAUUUAGUCCCAAAUAGCACCUUAUUGUCUAUUUAGUCUCAAAUAGCACCCUAUUCCCUGUUUAGUCCCAAAUUUCACUCUAUUCCCUUUAUAGUGUGCUACUUAUGACCAGGGCCUAUAGGGCGGAAUAGGGGGCCAUUUGGAAAGUCACAUUAUAUAGUGUAUUAGAGGUUGACCUCUAUAAUGUAACACAACAUGCGGAGAUGUGGGAGUGGAGGGAUUUGUUUUGCCCCUUUUCAAACCUGCACAUGUCUGUCCUUUUAAUGUAUAUAAUGUAUAUCAUUUAUAAUGGCCUCAUUGUUCUGGGUAACAUUCACAUUACAUUUCCUGAUCCAUUAAGUCCGCUAGCUACAUCGUGGUACUGUACAUAUUUUCAUGAUAAACAUUUGUAACCCAACGUACUAGACAACGGGGAGGAAACGAGAUUUGGAUAUGUUGUUUACACCAUGGAAAAAGGCCCAACAGUUUCAACACAAAACGGCCCAGUGUAGAGAGGUGAUGAGUGAGCAAAUAUAGCCGUGUGUGUGUGUGUGUGUGUGUGUGUGUAGAGUGGUGGAAAAAGUACCCAAUUGUCAUACUUCAGUGAAAGUAAAGAUACCUUCAUAGAAAAUGAAAUACUGAAGCAGAGCAUGAUCCCCUCCCUUCAGAGACUGGGCUGCAGGGCAGUAUUUCAACAUGAUAACGACCCCAAACACACCUCUCCAAGACGACCACUGCCUUGCUAAAGAAGCUGAGGGUAAAGGUGAUGGACUGGCCAAGCAUGUCUCCAGACCUAAACCCUAUUGAGCAUCUGUGGGGCAUCCUCAAACGGAAGGUGGAGGAGUGCAAGGUCUCUAACAUCCACCAGCUCCGUGAUGUCGUCAUGGAGGAGGACUCCAGUGGCAACCUGUGAAGCUCUGGUGAACUCCAUAAGGCAGUGCUGGAAAAUUAUGGUGGCCACAAAAUAUUGACACUUUGGGCCCAAUUUGGACAUUUUCACUUAGGGGUGUACUCACUUUUGUUGCCAGCGGUUUAGACAUUAAUGGCUGUGUGUGGAGUUAUUUUGAGGGGACAGCAAAUGUACACUGUUAUACAAGCUGUACACUCACUACUUUACAUUGUAGCAAAGUGUCAUUUCUUCAGUGUUGUCACAUGAAAAUAUAUACUCAAAUAUUUACAAAAAUGUGAGGGGUGUACUCACUUUUGUGAUAUACUGUAUCUUCCCUAUAGGUCUACAUUAAAAUACAACCACUGUAUGUUUCAAUAGGAACAUCUCCACAGGACCCAUCUUCCCCACGGGCCAACAUUAAAAUACAACCACUGUAUGUUUCAAUAGGAACAUCUCCACAGGACCUAUCUUCCCCACGGGCCGACAUUAAA